rnacentral:pre_miRNA from 1 species
UGGCGUAAAGUAUGGAGUUGGAACGUUUGCCUACGUUUGCCGCUAAGGGCGCUAUUCCAACUGCAUACAAAUUUGAGUUA